rnacentral:tRNA from 1 species
GCGGAUGUAGCCAAGGGGAUCAAGGCAGG